rnacentral:rRNA from 1 species
GACGAACGCUGGCGGCGUGCCUAAUACAUGCAAGUAGAACGCUGAAGGAGGAGCUUGCUUCUCUGGAUGAGUUGCGAACGGGUGAGUAACGCGUAGGUAACCUGCCUGGUAGCGGGGGAUAACUAUUGGAAACGAUAGCUAAUACCGCAUAAUAGUAGAUGUUGCAUGACAUUGGCUUAAAAGGUGCAAUUGCAUCACUACCAGAUGGACCUGCGUUGUAUUAGCUAGUUGGUGGGGUAACGGCUCGCCAAGGCGACGAUACAUAGCCGACCUGAGAGGGGGAUCGGCCACACUGGGACUGUGACACGGCCCAGACUCCUACGGGUGGCAGCUGUAGGGCAUCUUCGGCAAUGGACGGAAGUCUGACCGCGCAACGCCGCGUGAGUGAAGAAGGUUUUCGGAUCGUAAAGCUCUGUUGUCAGAGAAGAACGAGUGUGAGAGUGGAAAGUUCACACUGUGACGGUAUCUUACCAGAAAGGGCCGGCUAACUACGUG